rnacentral:rRNA from 1 species
GAUGAACGCUGGCGGCGUGCUUAACACAUGCAAGUCGAACGAUGAAGCUCAGCUUGCUGGGUGGAUUAGUGGCGAACGGGUGAGUAACACGUGAGUAACAUGCCCUUAACUCUGGGAUAAGACUGGGAAACUAGGUCUAAUACCGGAUAGGAGCGCCUACCGCAUGGGGGGGGUGGGAGAAAUUUAUCGGUUUUGGAUGGACUCGCGGCCUAUCAGCUUGUUGGUGAGGUAAUGGCUCACCAAGGCGACGACGGGUAGCCGGCCUGAGAGGGUGACCGGCCACACUGGGACUGAGACACGGCCCAGACUCCUACGGGAGGCAGCAGUGGGGAAUAUUGCACAAUGGGCGAAAGCCUGAUGCAGCGACGCCGCGUGAGGGAUGACGGCCUUCGGGUUGUAAACCUCUUUCAGUAGUGAAGAAGCGAAAGUGACGGUACCUGCAGAAGAAGCACCGGCUAACUACGUG